GAUGAAGAACGCAGCGAAAUGCGAUAAGUAGUGUGAAUUGCAGAAUUCCGUGAAUCAUCGAAUCUUUGAACGCACAUUGCACCUUCUGGUAUUCCGGAAGGCAUGCCUGUUCGAGAGUCAUUAACAACCGUUUCGAUCCCUUUCUUUCAGAAAUUACAAAGAGGAAAAGGGUUUGGUUAUGGUGGAGGAGGGAAAGGGAGCGUUUAGCCUGUAAAAAAAGAGGCUGUGUUCCGCCUCCCCCCCAAAAUUGUACAGGCGGUCGUGUGCGCCCACGCAUCGAGGUGUUGUAAAAGCUGCCACGGCACUUUUCACCUGUGCAGUGCGAGAUUGGCCAGCCGGUUUAAAAACCCCUCCAAACAAUCAAAGGUUGACCUCGGAUCAGGUAGGGAUACCCGCUGAACUUAAGCAUAUCAAUAAGCGGAGGA
rnacentral:misc_RNA from 1 species